AUUGAACGCUGGCGGCAGGCUUAACACAUGCAAGUCGAGCGAGCGGCGGACGGGUGAGUAAUGUCUGGGAAACUGCCUGAUGGAGGGGGAUAACUACUGGAAACGGUAGCUAAUACCGCAUACCAUCAGAUGUGCCCAGAUGGGAUUAGCUAGUAGGGGGGGUAAUGGCUCACCUAGGCGACGAUCCCUAGCUGGUCUGAGAGGAUGAUCAGCCAAACUGGGACUGAGACACGGCCCAGACUCCUACGGGAGGCAGCAGUGGGGAAUAUUGCACAAUGGGCGCAAGCCUGAUGCAGCCAUGCCGCGUGUAUGAAGAAGGCCUUCGGGUUGUAAAGUACUUUCAGCGAGGAGGCGUUACUCGCAGAAGAAGCACCGGCUAACUCCGUGCCAGCAGCCGCGGUAAUUC
rnacentral:rRNA from 1 species